rnacentral:lncRNA from 1 species
UGAGAAGAGAGAGAGGUCCUAUCUUCCCUUUGGCCUCUCCCCUUGUUGCCGCCCCUCUUUCUUUGGGCGUGGGGUCUCUUUGGACGUCCCACCUGCUAGUGUGAGGUGUCAUACUAGCACAUUUCAUCUCUCGAUUGAUUAAGUUGCUAAGCCAAUUGGAUUGGAGUUUAUCCUGCUUUCCUGCGGUGUCUGACGUGCAUGCAAAGUAGAGGAUCUGCACAUCCAGACCUUCGCGAAGGAUUAUAUCAGAUAAUUUGGGAUUUGAUCCCUGAUUCCGCUGCGUUUCAGGUAAAGAUUUGAUCAUUAAACAAGUAAAACAUUAAAAAAAUUUUAGAUGCAACUUGGACAUCCCGAAGGAAAACUGUUUCCCUUCCCUUCAACUGGUAUUAGAGCAGAUCUGAAAUAUAUGUAUGCAAAAUAAAAUUUUUUGAGAUUAUUUACAUAAGAUAUAAUCGAGAGUUUUUGUGGAUAUUAAAACUCAUUUAAAUUUAUUUAUAUAAAAUUUCUGAUCUGAUUUUAAUUGGAUUAGAGGUGCCUAAUCAAUGGUUGAUUGAUGUUGUUAUAAAUCUGUUAUUACAGAAUUCUGCUGUUGCUGAAUUUUUUAUGAAAAAAUAAAGUGAAUUAAAAUCUGUUUUAAUAGAAUUUUAAUGUUGUUAUUUUUCUUAUGAAGUGAAGUUUAUUUCAGAUUUAAAUUGAAUCCAUUUCGAUGGAUAUUUAGAUCUGAAUCCUAUCGUAAUUCAACACUGCAUGAAAACAGAUUUACCAAAAAUUAAUUCCUUAUGCAUUCAUAUUUGCAUCUAAUUAAUUUUCUAUUUGAUAUCAAAUUUAAAAUUAGUGUUUUAUAAUUAGUAUAAGAUAUAUUUCAGAUUUGAUAUGAUGUAUAUGAUGCAUCAAAUCUAAUUGGAUUAGAUAAAAAACAUAAUUGAUAAGAUCAAGGAUAUGUUCAUAACACAAUAGUUUUAUCAAUAAUUGUAUGUUGAUGUAAUUAUAUAUGAAAUUAGAUUUCAAAUCCUAAUAGUCUAGUACUUGGAUUGAUGAGAUCACCAGACCGUCCGGUCAUAAGAGAUUGAAGAAAUUAAUCUCUCUUUUGCCUAUUCGAUGGGUUCUCUUAUGACGUGUAGGGGUGUUGUUGUGAUCCAAUUUCAUGAAGA